CAGAGGGUCAAGGGCCGGUCAAUGUGCACAUGCAUGUUCGUUCUCCUCUGGCAGCUGUGUUAAGGCCUCAAUCCGGAUAAAACAAAAGCAAUAAUGUAUGUAGGUCUUCCCGAAGCAGCGGUUCAGAAUGAUCCCACACUGUGAGCAAUUCUGCCAAGAAACAGAGGUCUGGAGAAUCACAGCUUUCGUAAAUACCCUCCUCGUGAAAAUAUGAAUAUGCACAACACAGAGCUUUUUUGGCCAAUGGCCAGGAAGACCUGCAAGAUGCCUGAAGUAGGACCAGAAAAGCCCUGUACAUGGCCUCUUCAGUAGAGGGAAAAGCUGGGAGUUUGGCAUCCUCAACAACUCCCAUAUGACCACAUGGCAAGACAACUACUUCAGAGAAAUCUGGAGAGGAGAGAGAUGGUGACACAAAAUGAGGCCCAAAUAAAGCAGAUGGGAAGGCUCUACUAAAUGGUUACCCUCAUUUCAUUCAGGUAGGAUUGAGACUGAGGCUCCCCAAACAAAAUCUUAAUGAACAGGAGAGGUCUUGAAAAAUGCCUAUUGAGACUCGGGAAUGUAGAGAGAAAACUUACCAAGCUUACCAGUAUCACACAGUUGUAGAGUCAGGAAGACUAGAUGAUUGAAAUGUGAUAAAGAUGACUGUGAAGGAGAAGUACCCCAGAUAAAUGGAAGAGAUGAUGAGGAACUGAUGAAUGAACUUCUUUUAACUAAGAGUUGCCACACAUAAGGUUUUUCACAACAAAGAGCAAUGCUUAAAGCCAGAAUUCAAGUGCUGCUGGCUUCCUUUGUCCUGGCAUCUGGAAGGAAAGGAAGAAGGCCCAGGCAAAAGAGUAAGGAGAGACAUUCAGAAGACUCAGAAGCCAACACAACAAGGUUCAGGAAACUGAAUGCUUAGAGACUAGAGAGGCCUGUGUCUGUUCCUGAGUGGUGCUGAUGGAAAACGAUGAAGAUCCUGUUGAAGUCCUCAAUCCUGUGUACCUAUGUGAAGGAGAUAAGAUAAUAACCCUUCAAAAUAAUCCUGUUUGAAACAGAAACAUGGAGGCCUCCGUCUUGAACCUAUGUAUCUUCCUCUGAGAAAUCAUGCAAAAGAUUUUCCCCUGGGACAAGAGGGAAAUGGUCUGUGAAAGAAAGAACCUUCUACCUUCCAAGAUGCUGGCUUGUCAAUAGUUUUCAUGACCCACCCUCUCUCCCUAACUUCUUCCACCACUGUUAUUCAUCACUUCAUUCAUAGACUGAGUAGUCAACAGUGACGUGAAUCUUCUGGGAAUACACUGGUUUUUCCCCACGCUUGUAUUUAAUAAACAUGCCCGUGGCUUAGCAUGGGUAAAUCUGAACAGCA